GCCUAAAGCGUCCGUAGCCGGCUCUGUCAGUUUUCGGUUAAAUCCAUAUGCUCAACAUAUGGGCCGCCGGGAAUACUACAAAGCUAGGGAGUGGGAGAGGUAGACGGUACCCCGUAGGAAGGGGUAAAAUCCUUUGAUCUAUGGAUGACCACCAGUGGCGAAGGCGGUCUACCAGAACACGUUCGACGGUGAGGGAUGAAAGCUGGGGGAGCAAACCGGAUUAGAUACCCGGGUAGUCCCAGCUGUAAACUAUGCAAACUCAGUGAUGCAUUGGCUUGUGGCCAGUGCAGUGCCGCAGAGAAGUCGUUAAGUUUGCCGCCUGGGAAGUACGUACGCAAGUAUGAAACUUAAAGGAAUUGGCGGGGGAGCACCACAAGGGGUGAGGCCUGCGGUUCAAUUGGAGUCAACGCCAGAAAUCUUACCCGGAGAGACAGCAGGAUGAAGGUCAAGUUGAAGCCUUUACCAGACAAGCUGAGAAGUGGUGCAUGGCCGUCGCCAGCUCGUGCCGUGAGGUGUCCUGUUAAGUCAGGUGACGAGCGAGAUCCUUGCCUCUAGUUGCUACCAUUACUCUCAGGAGUAGUGGGGCGAAUUAGCGGGACUGCCGUAGUUAAUACGGAGGAAGGAGAGGGCCACGGCAGGUCAGUAUGCCCCGAA
rnacentral:rRNA from 1 species